GGCCCGCCGCCGCCAUCUUGUCCACAGCAGCAGCAGAGGCCAUAGGGGCAGAGCGGGAAGCGCAGCGCGCCGCCGGCAGGCGCCCGCACUUCCGGCCGCCGCUCGAACGCCUCCGCAUGCGGGGCGGGCGCGCCUCAGGCAGAAAGCAAGACAAGGGCGCCCUAGCGCUUGGGAUUCCGGCUGGGUUUUGUUUUGUUUUUCCCCCUUUACUCCUUUCUUUCUUUUUCUUAUUUUACAGACAGGGGUUGUUUCCACGCUCUGGCCCCGCGCUGCCGGCGUGUGUAUGUGUGUUCAACUGGGAUCCGGAAGUGGUGGCUGAAGCUGGCGGCCCUGAAGUCUGCUCCCGUCCCUACGCUCUUGGGAGAGGGAGGAGGAGCGGCUCCGCUCUUAAAGGGGCCGACACGCGAUUUUCACUCUCUCUCUGCCUGGCUAUAGGCUUACAAAUGAGGUUGUGCUCACUCGAGGCACAAAUGACCAGGCUCAAACUUCCCUACUUCAGACACAUGAUGCGAAGACCCAGCUCCCUUGAGAAGUCUAUAAUGCUGGGGAAAGUUGAAGGAAAGAGAAGAAGAGGGCGACCAGCAGCAAGGUGGACGGACUCGAUUACGACAGCAAUGAAUGCACCUCUGCAAGACCUGAAAGGCCAAGUUAAAGUCAGAUCUUCCUGGAGAGAAUCUAUCUGAGUGGUUGCUAAGAGGUGACACCAACUUGACGACACUUAAUCAAUUAAUCAAUCAGAAAAAUGCAGAUGAGGACAAUGGGGCAGAAGAAGAGAUCCAGACGUCAAUUUUAAUGUAUUAAUAUUAGCCAGUGUUUGGCUGCUCAACUAUA